AACAAUUUGAGGCAAAAAAUAAAUAACAACAGUAUUGGAAUAUAAUCCAUAGAAAAAAAUUAAAACUCAUAUAAAUAUAUAAUUAAUACAUGCAUGGAAAAUAGAAUAUCACCAUUAGAACACCAUAAUACUAACUGUUGCUGGAAAGAUCCACCAAUGAAUGCUGAAAUUCAUGGGUGAAUAUUUAAGAAGAAACAAGGUAUUUGCAGAGUCUCAGGGUAUCUUUCCCAAGAUGUAUCAAUUUCAAAUGAAAAAAAUAAUAAGAGUAAAGCAAUCCAGUAGGCCAUCACCUUAACCAAGUGGUUAAAGUUAACAUCACCAGUAAAAAGACACAUGAACAUCAAUUACCCCCUUGAUACGAUACAUUGAGAAAGGCACAUCGCCAUUGUGGUAUUCUUGCUUGUUCUGUUGGGUCCUCACAGCCAGAUAUUCAGCACAUG
rnacentral:lncRNA from 1 species